GAUUAUUUAGUUUAAAUUUAAAACAAAUGUUUUGAAAACAUUAAAUAAGAAAAAAUUCUUAAUAAUCU
rnacentral:tRNA from 1 species